rnacentral:rRNA from 1 species
ACAGAGGUGUCGAGCGUUGUUCGGAUUUACUGGGCGUAAAGGGUGCGUAGGCGGAUCCGUGUGUCGGAUGUGAAAUCUCCCGGCUUAACUGGGAAACUGCAUCUGAAACUACGGUACUCGAGUUCAGGAGAGGAUGGCGGAAUUCGCGGUGUAGCGGUGAAAUGCGUAGAUGUCGGUAGGAGCACCCGUGGCGUAGGCAGCCAACUGGACCGGUACUGACGCUGUGGCUCGAAGGCGAGGGGAGCAAACAG